rnacentral:rRNA from 1 species
CCUUGGAUCAGGAUGAACGCUAGCGGCAGGCCUAACACAUGCAAGUCGAGGGGUAACAUAGAAGAGCUUGCUUUUCUGAUGACGACCGGCGCACGGGUGCGUAACGCGUAUGCAACCUACCUCUUACUGGAGGAUAGCCCGAAGAAAUUCGGAUUAAUACUCCAUAGUAUUUCUUUCUCACCUGAGAUUGAAAUUAAAGGUUACGGUAAGAGAUGGGCAUGCGUCCUAUUAGCUAGAUGGUAAGGUAACGGCUUACCAUGGCUACGAUAGGUAGGGGGCCUGAGAGGGUGAUCCCCCACACUGGUACUGAGACACGGACCAGACUCCUACGGGAGGCAGCAGUGAGGAAUAUUGGGCAAUGGAGGCAACUCUGACCCAGCCAUGCCGCGUGCAGGAAGACGGUCCUAUGGAUUGUAAACUGCUUUUAUUUGUGAAUAAACUCCGGUACGUGUACCGGCCUGAAUGUAGCAAAUGAAUAAGCACCGGCUAACUCCGUG